GACGAAGGGGGCUAGCGUUGUUCGGAAUUACUGGGCGUAAAGGGCGCGUAGGCGGCCUGUUAAGUCGAACGUGAAAUCCCUGGGCUCAACCCAGGAACUGCGUCCGAUACUGGCAGGCUUGAAUCCGGGAGAGGGAUGUGGAAUUCCAGGUGUAGCGGUGAAAUGCGUAGAUAUCUGGAGGAACACCGAUGGCGAAGGCAGGUCACUGGGCCGCAACUGACGCUGAGGAGCGAAAGCAUGGGGAGCGAACAGG
rnacentral:rRNA from 1 species